GUUGUCCUCAGGUCAAUUUUGACCUGGGAGGCCUAUUGACCAUCAUUUCCAAAAAAAAAAGUAUAAAA